UAUCGAUUGAGAUGAUACCUUUAGAAUUUUCCUAUUUGUUUCGACAUAUUUUGUUUCCUUAUUUUUGAGAAAUCAAUUAUUACAAAUAAAAGAGUUGAGACUGUAAUUGACAUAAUUGUUAUUAAUAAAAUGAUUUUAUUGUUUCGUUGAUAUUAAUCCCACGUCCAUGAUUGACAAAGCAAGCAAGUCUGUGAAGGUAGUGAAACAGUUGAUACAUCAAAGUUUGGUUGCUUUAUUUUGUCGUAAUUCAUAAUUUUCCUUGUAGAUAUGCCAACAUUGAGGUUUGAAUUAGUGGUUUUUUUAGUCCCCUUCCGAACAGCCAGUUUGCUUUUUUUGGUUCAUAAGUUUUAUUUAAAGUAAUAUUUGAAUGUUCUCUGUAAAUGCAUGAUAUGUCUUUCUUUUGCAGUCAUGUAUUAAGGUUGCAUUGGAUUUUGUUUCUCCUGAAAAUGUUGGGGAGUGCUUUCGUUUAACAGAAGAAUUUCGUAAACUUCCCAUAAGCCAUGUGUCUGCUGAGGAUAAAUUGGAGGUGAAAAAGAUGAUAAUAUAUGCUAUGCAAGAUGCGAUAACAAAAUUGGAGAAAGCAAGGACGGAAGCAGAUAUUCCCUUAACAAUCAAUGAGAAGGAGGAGGUGGAAUAAUAGAUUUUGGGUCAUUAGCUUAUUCGUGACUGGAAGAAGGGUUCCGUAUUUUGUUGUUUCAACCACACCGGGGAAGGUUUUUUUGGUUACCAUUAUACAUCUUGUAAACCUCCUAGCUUUCACAUCUAGCUUGUAUCUUCUUUAGGUGUUCAUGUGUCCUAUUACCAACUCUUAAAUACCAUUUAAUUGUAUUCUGAAGAAUGCAAUCAGAAGUAAUAUAAAUAUUAUGUUAGAUUACUAAAUCUAUUGUGACAUUCAUAUUUAGACCGUUACAAAGUCUACGUAUUAUUUUGAAACAUUAACAACGGAACAUAAAAGUGUUCUCUAUUUUUUUUCUUAUGUAACACUCGUAAUGAAAUUACAAAUAACAUUGUAACGUAUGGUUAUUAUUUGUUUUGCUUAUUUUUUAUCACGUACCAUUCGAGGUGCAGAAUGAAUAUCCUAUUUUAAGGUGUCUUGCAUUAUGUUAGAACAGGGUGUGAAGAGACAAAAUGUACUCUGAUUCUAAAGCUGUUUAAUGCUGAUGGUGGAUUAAUUAUUUUGAUAAUACGAUAAAUUUAUUUUUGUUUUCAUGUAAUAGGACUCUUACACAUUUUCUACGUUCAAUUUUAGUUAAACAGACAAAGAAUUAAGGUUCAGAAUAAACUAAUGCCUUUUUGCAUACGUAUUCUCCUUUGUGUAUGAAAGCAGAGUACGGAUGCGUCACAAUGAGCUCUGUUAGAUGUGUUAAGUAGUUCUUUUCUUGUGUCUGUUUUCGCCUUUCUGCGGCAUGCAUGGAUCUGCGUGUCUGCGUUAUGCCAGGAUUUUUUUGCUCUUCGGUGUGUAUAUAUAUACAUUGUUUGUUGGGUAAUGAUAUAUUUUUGUGAUCAUUUUUUUUUUAACUAUUCUGAUACCUUACAUGGUAACCCGGCUUCUUGCCUAAUCUUCACAUUGAUUCUAACCAAGAUGGUGAGUCUUAAAUCUUUUCAGAUUUGGACAAACUUGUUCACAAACUAUGCUUCUAAGAUACGAGAAUUACAAGUUAGAAUACUAAAGAAGGAUUAUUGUAUUGUAUUACUACCUAUCCUUUUGAUAGCAAGAAGAUAUUUUAUACGCUUGCAGCUAUAGUUGCUUCCAUUUUUUUCAAUGCUAUUCUUGGUGAAUUAUUUGUAGAAUAUGAUAAUUUUAUUGUAUUCUAACCUUAAGAACUACAAGUUAGAACACCAAAGAAAGAUUAUUGUAUUACUACAUAUCCUUUUAAUAUUAAGAAGACAGUUGAUACCCUUGUUAUUAUAGGUACUCUCAUUUCUGGUGGAGAUCACAAUAAUGCUAUUCUUGGUGAAUUGUUUGAGGAAUAUGAUCAUUUUAGUGUAUUCUAACUUGAACAACUACAAGUUAGAAUACCAAAGUAGGAUUAAUGCUACAUGUAUUCCUAUUUCUGCUGAAGAUCAUAUUGAUGAUUGAUGUUGUUCUUAGUGAAUUGUUUGACGAAUCCGACGAUUUAUUACUUGUUAUUUCAUGUACGGACCCUUGUGUUGUUGAAGAAAUUGAGGUUCUUGAAGAUCGAGUUGAUAUAAUUCUUGAUGAUGUAUUUAAAGAUUGUGAUAUCAUUUUAUUACUGUACUGUAUGGUGAUACAGAUCUAUAGAGCGGUCUGCCGGAUACAACUGCAAGAGAGGGGAUGACUAAUCUGAAUGAGCUGCAAUCAAUACUGUCAGGUUGGAACCAUUUGGUUGGAGAUGAAGACCAAUCGUCUAUGUUGUUUACUAAUCUUGAUGGAUGAAGAUAAAGAAGAGUGUUUCCACAGGAAAAAUGAAGAUGUAGAAACAUGAAGAAAUGGACCUAUUCGAUUAUAGAAGAAUCGUACUCGAUUUCACUUCAUCACACAAAAGUGAAGGGGGCUUUGUAUUUGUUCCCUGAUCUUGGAUUCUCUUACCUUCCAUCUACUAAUGCAAACAAAGUUCUACAGUAAA